ACUCUCUUCUGCCGACCUCACCAUCCUUUUCUUCUUCUUAUUCUACCACUCUUCUCCUUCACGCUCAUUUCCUUUCUCUGGCAGCAGCAUCUUCUUCUUUCAUUUUCUUUGAGCAACACCAUGCUCCAUGCACAUAAUCUAUAGCCUAUUUUUGAUUUAAAACACAGAUGUUAAUGUAACUUUAGAAGCAUGGGAGAUUCCAUAUUAAAGCUUAAGGCAGAUCUUUGUGUAUUAAUUGAAUAGUAUGAAGCAUAAUUGAGAUUCACCUUACAACAGCACACCACCACCAUGUCCUUUUCUUCCUCACCUACAACCAUGGCAGCACCUCUUCAUCACUAAGUUUCUCCUUCACGCAGGUUGGAGCAAAAAGCAUUGGAAUGUUCAAGUUUGGAACUCAAAGUUGGAGCAACUGAGUGUGGACAAAAAAAGAAGGAGAAUCGGCGAAGGCCCUAACAGGUGUUGCUGUGAGUAGCUGUUGAUCGCUGUCAGGAGGUGAUUGAAUUGAUUUACGGGAUGACUUUUUGGAGUGAGUAGAUUAACCGAAGACUGGUAGGAGUAAUAGUUAGAUGUAAGGCUAGAGCCUUGGGUAGAGAAGCUUACUGUUAUUGGUUAAAGCUUAUAGGGAUGGUUGUAUAACUUACUUUGGCUUUGGGUAGGUUCCGAUGCAUUGCUCUUCUGCAACUCUCCAGUGCGGGGAUUGUAGGAAGUAUAUUGGACUUAGGGUGUUAUCGCAUUCUGAACCUUGUUGUCUGUUAAGGCAUUACGUUAUUGUAUAUUACAUGUAUUGAACAUCCGUCGUCA